UGUGGAGCAGCCAGGUCUUGAACUGGUGCCCAUGUGGGAUGCCGGCGCUCAGGCCAGGGUGUUAACCCGUAGCGCCACAGUGCCAACCCCUGUUGGGUUAAUCUCUUGAAUAUAAAGUAAACUGAAAAUAAAUCUUUGUAAAAAUUAAGAGUGAGAAUAGUAGAGAAAGGAGGAAGAAAGGUGGGAGUGUGUUCAGGAGUGGUGGUAGGGUGAGAAGACUCACUAUGUUCUGAUAUCUAUAUGUAUGAAAUGUGUAUACCUUAAAUAAAAAUAAGAAAGAAAUCAAAAAAGAAAAAAAUCAAUAUAUUAAACCUAAAAAAUACAAACUUAUUUUUUCUUUUUUAGCUCUUUCUCAUUCUACUUUAUUAAAAUAUGGUACCAAAAAUGGCUUUGGAGAAUAUUAAAAUAGAAGAUUACCUUUGGAUUCAGAGGGGACACCGGAUUCCUAAGGAAAACCUUCCAAAGAUGUGCACGCAUUUGGUUUGUGAGUCAGAGAUGCCCGUACACAAAGGCAAAUUUAACUCAUAACUGAAUCAUGCUUAUUUACCCUUAUGGGAGAAAGGAAGAGCAUAAUUGAAUUCCACAGACAAUCUCUCAAACUCAUUUAUUGAUUAUGGUAUCCCUGCUCACCACCACCCUCAUCUUCCUGAAAACAGAAUUGCCUUCAGCAAAAUUAGAAGGUAUGAGUUUCAUUUCCUGUCACUAUUUUAUGCUCUUCUUAGUUCCUCACCAUUCAGCAAGCAGCUGAGAGGGGAAGCUGCAGUUGAAUCUGUUUAAGGAAUCUACAAACUAUAUUUUUAAAAUGCCUCUGAGUUUUAUGAUUUGAUUAGAAUAAUGAGGCUUCUGUUAUGUUUACUACAUUCUGAAAAUCAUAUAUUAUGAGUGCUGCUGAA
rnacentral:lncRNA from 1 species